AAAUCAUGAUUUGGAAUUUUCUACAAAUACUCAUUAAAUCUCUCCCAAACUUCAUAUAAUUGUUCCCCUGGUCACCGCUUGAAUUCAUAGAUCUUGUCACAAAUCU